UACGAAGGGGGGCUAGCGUUGCUCGGAAUUACUGGGCGUAAAGGGCGCGUAGGCGGAUAGUUUAGUCAGAGGUAAAAGCCCAGGGCUCAACCUUGGAACUGCCUUUGAUACUGGGGAUCUCGAGUCCGGAAGAGGUGAGUGGAACUCCGAGUGUAGAGGUGAAAUUCGUAGAUAUUCGGAAGAACACCAGUGGCGAAGGCGGCUCACUGGUCCGGUACUGACGCUGAGGUGCGAAAGCGUGGGGAGCAAACAGGG
rnacentral:rRNA from 1 species